GGAGAGAUGGCUCAGUGGGUAAGAGCACUGACUGCUCUUCCAAAGGUCCUGAGUUCAAUUCCCAGCAACUACA
rnacentral:tRNA from 1 species